UCAUCGCUUUUGAGAACCCAUUGACGUGAUAGCUAUUAUAAAGAACAAAGACAGAUUUGGCGGAUUUCUGGCUCAAUAGCUAUCUCGGGAAAGCAAAGCUCAUAAUACUUGCAAGCAAGUAAUUACAAUCUAUAAGAGUCGCAGUAUAAGUUGCGAAAUCCUAAGGAGGAAUAUAGGUCUAUAAGGUAGAUGUUCUCCUUUAAUUACAAGUAAACAAGAGGAGAGGACGCACAUUUCGAAGUAGGAGUAACUCGAAGUUUAACUUAUUAAUGGCAGUCAAAAAAUUUUGUCAAUCAUUAAAUUGGUGCGGUUCUAAA